GACGAACGCUGGAGGCGUGCUUAACACAUGCAAGUCGAACGAUGAAGCUGGAGCUUGCUCUGGUGGAUUAGUGGCGAACGGGUGAGUAACACGUGAGUAACCUGCCCUGGACUCUGGGAUAACCCCGAGAAAUCGGAGCUAAUACCGGAUAGGACCUCGGAUCGCAUGAUCUGGGGUGGAAAGUUUUUCGGUCUGGGAUGGACUCGCGGCCUAUCAGCUUGUUGGUGAGGUAAUGGCUCACCAAGGGGUCGACGGGUAGCCGGCCUGAGAGGGGGACAGGCCACAUUGGGACUGAGACUCGGCCCAAACUCCUACGGGAGGAAGCAGUGGGGAAUAUUGCACAAUGGGCGCAAGCCUGAUGCAGCAACGCCGCGUGCGGGAUGACGGCCUUCGGGUUGUAAACCGCUUUUAGUAAGGAAGAAGCCGCAAGGUGACGGUACUUGCAGAAAAAGGACCGGCUAACUACGUGCCAGCCGCCGCCGUAAGAC
rnacentral:rRNA from 1 species